UACGUAGGGGGCUAGCGUUGUCCGGAAUCAUUGGGCGUAAAGAGCGUGUAGGCGGCCCGGUAAGUCCGCUGUGAAAGUCGGGGGCUCAACCCUCGAAAGCCGGUGGAUACUGUCGGGCUAGAGUGCGGAAGAGGCGAGUGGAAUUCCUGGUGUAGCGGUGAAAUGCGCAGAUAUCAGGAGGAACACCGAUUGCGAAGGCAGCUCGCUGGGACGUUACUGACGCUGAGACGCGAAAGCGUGGGGAGCAAACAGG
rnacentral:rRNA from 1 species